UGUUCUGUGGCUUAGCUGAUUAAAGCGUCGGUCUGGCGAAUACGGAGUGGGUUCGACUCUCACCAGAACGC
rnacentral:tRNA from 1 species